AAAAAAAAGAUAGAGAGAAAAAGAAACAAUUGCUUCCAUUACUAAAUCUUAUAACCCUAUACUAAGAGAUGCAGCUAAAGGUGCCAUUUUCCAUCAAAAUAGCUAUCUCAAAUGCAUUUCAUUGUUUUGGGUGGUAUUUUAAUGGAAGAAAAUGAAAGCCAAGACUAGUUUGAGCAGUGCUGUAGUAUACACUACAGCCAUGACUCAGUGUGAUUAGAUUUAACCAGGUUCAAUACUAGCUAUACAGUGUGCUGCAUCACAAACUUCAGAUUUUUCUCUAGAUUAAAAUUUUUUGAAUCUUGAUUUCUAGCCAAAAUUUGCAUCACCUUUUGUAAUUUCUAAUUAGGGUAGUGUGGGCCAAAACAAUGCAAUGGCUGAAGUCUCAUACAUAUACAGUACAAGGUCCAGUAACCUUGCCCAGGAAGGAAACACAGAGCAAACACUCAAGGGAAAAAAGAAUUAUUAUGUUAUCUAUAAACAGAAAAAAAAAAAAAAAAAAAAAAAACUUUCCUGGGAACAAGGUAUUUAAAGUUUUCAACUCAAUACGAGUUUAGAGCUAGAGUUCCAAACCUCAGGACAAUAAUCAAUUUAGCUACAGCUGUUACCAACAGCCAUUGUAAUGUUGAGACCAGAAGGUCAAAGGUCUACUACAAGAUUUACCACUUAUUAAGUCAUAGUUCUGUCCAUCCUCUGCUCAUGUUCAAGCUGUGAACAAUGAAAGGAUGUCUAUCUAAAGUCCUGACACUCAGUAUGGAUGUUUCAUAAAAUUCAGUAUGUUAAAAACACAUAUUGAUUGAUACCAUUCCAAUUUAAAAGAAUAAUUUGAUGGUAAAAGCCUUCACUUCAUAAAACUUGAAAGCUAUUUUAAAGGCAGGUGAAUAUGCUUGUGAAGAAAUUGCUCAGUAAAAUCCCCAAAAGAAAAGUAUGAGACCAUCUCGGAAUUAUUUAAUUGAGCAUUCACUGUCUAAUUAGAAUUAUGUAAUUUCAAAAAAAAAGGAUUGUGUGAUUUCAAUAAUGCUCAACAUUCAUGAAAUAAGCCCGAAUCCCUGUACUGUGGAAUCUCACAUUAAAAGAAGAAACAACAAAUGAUGGUAAAGAAGCAGAAUUAAAAGCAGCAACAGAUUUUAGAGUAUCUCAUACACCACUUUGCUUUCACGUUAAGAAGACAGACUAAAUAUGAACUAAAUGGGAUAGGCUCAUAUCAACCACAAAUGACAGGCUUCAGCUAUGUUGGCCUACACAAAGCUCAAUGGCCCUUUUUAGAAACACUAAAUUGGAACUUGUCUGAGAAACACUUGACUAAAGCCUCACUGAUCAUCCUCAAGUUGUAUAAAAGAGUACCCAGGAUUGUUUUUAUUUCCUCCAACCCUUCCUUUGGAGUUAGAUAAAAUUGAAGAACUCUUUUGAGUUACCUCUUGUCUUCCUACACACACACACACACACACACACACACACACACACCAUGAAUUAACAAAACUGACAAUAUUAGAAAACAAAGGGCAAUAAUCAGCUUUUCUACACAACAAACCUAAGCUUUGAAACUAAUCUUUAAAAAGAUUGUGUAAUUUUUCAAAAAUAUAAAUAGCUUGCGAGGUUUUUUUCUAAGUCAUAAGUAACACAUUAUGUAUUUUUAAAAAAAGGAAAAGAAAAUAAGAGUCAUCCAUUAUCACCCAAAAAAAAAUAACUACUAACAUAUUUUUGUGUACUUCAAUCUUCUUUGCAUGUCUGUAUAUAGUUAAAAAACAAAAUUCAGGGGUGCCUGGGUUGCUCAGUCAGCUAAGCGUCUGCCUUUGGCUCAGGUCAUGAUCCCAGAGUACUGAGGUCAAGCCCCAAGUCAGGCUCCCUGAUGAGCCCGCUUCACGCUCUCCCUCUGCCCCUCCCUGCAUGCCCUUCCCCCCACUUCAUGCUCUCUCUCACUUGUACUCUCUCACUUGUUCUCUCUCUUUAAGAAAUAAAUAAAAUCUUUUUUAAAAAUAUAUUUUUAGUUUUUGUCAAAUUGGGAUCCCACAGAAUAUAGUCUUGCAAACUUAAUAAUAUACUGUAAACAUUUUGGAUAUCAUUAAAUAUCCUACAAAUUAUUUUAGUAACUAAAU
rnacentral:lncRNA from 1 species